GGCUGGUUGGAGUGCAGCAGUGUUUACAAUUAAUUGAUCAGAAUCAGUUAUAAAUUUAUUGUUUUCUUCUCCACUCCUGCUGCUUCAGUUGACUAAGCCUAAG
ensembl:misc_RNA Y_RNA Y RNA